AGUUUGUUGAAGAAUCAACUCUUUCCAUAAUUUCUAAAUCCUACUUGAAUGUUGCCUCUAUGUCAGGACAACUAUAUUGGUCUUCUGAAACUUGCUGUUCCAAUUAGAGUAAUCAUCAAGAUAAAUGUUCUCAAACAACAUCUCCAUAUUUAUCUAAAUGUCUAGUUGUAGCUUCUGAAUACAUAUGUAUUUGGAGACUACUACUAGACAUUUGAAUGAAUAUGGUGAUACUUUUUUGAGAACAUUUGUCUAAAGUAACUAGAUCAGUGAAAGAAGGAAUUGGAAGGACCACUUUUGCCAUAGGUGAUGGUACAAAUGUUUAGAAAUUAUAUUAUACUCAAAUGCAAUCGACUAAGGAGAACCAAGAGGAGGAGACUAGCAAGAUGCUGUUCUAGUUUCAUCUCCUGCUUAUCAAGGUGAUCAUCAACAUGAGACUGAGGAUGUUGGUGAUGAAGCUUAGGCUUUAAUGUUGGGCCUUGCUCUGGUAGGACAUGUGACAUCGAGACAUAGAUAGGAUUAGAUUAGGAUGUUGUUCUUAUUAAAUUAUUUUGAAAA